AUCCUUCUCUUCUUCUAUAUACCUGAGUACAAUCAAGGUACAACACUUAGGUAGUAUAUAAUUCUUAUUGAUGUUAAAAUGAAUCUCACAAUGUAGUGCGUGGACCUCUUGUUGUAGCUUCUUUGCACGAGUACGUGUAAUCGGUCCAUUGAUGACAUGGGCUAGUGUCGGCGUAGGUGAAACUUGAGUGGAUGUAGCUUGACUUGGAGCUUGUGACAUCUUGCUUGGUGGCAUGGUC
rnacentral:lncRNA from 1 species